GAAAACUGUAUAUAUAUAAAUGGAAAAUGCAAACAUUUGACCAAAGUGUUUCUCAUUUCAAAAUAUCUCAAAAACAGAUGUUCAUACAAAAACUAGGCUUAUAGUAUACAUCCCAACACAUCUAAACCAGAUAUUGAUGAAGAGAGUGUAGGGACUUGUGUUGUGGACGCAGAGCCCUAAGAAUAACUUCUUUUAGUUGUACCCCCAAUAGAGUUAGAGCCUUUUCCUGAUCAGGAGAAGGCCACGGUCAUUAUUUCAGAACCUCCAGGUACCUUCCAACAUGAUAAAUUUAGUAUUUCUUUUGAUCUUUUAGAAAACUUUUUAGAGGUACCAGUUAUUGAUUUUAUUGGUUGCGAUUCAUUCCUUGAUGUAUACUUUAUAGAGUCUGACAUUAUUUCAUCUUCUUUUUACCCCGCAUGCGUGUGGGAGGUGUUUUUUUUCCUUGGCCUUGUAGGUCCAGCAAAAAUCAAGUGUCCAGAGUGGACACUCCAACUGAACCAGCUCUGACCUCCCGGAAGAAUUUUUCAAGAGUACACUGUGGGAAAAAAGGUGUUCACCUCAACAUAGCAUUCCACUUUUGGAGUGGAUUUUGUACCUUAAUCGACUCCAACCACUAGGAAGGACCACCCUAUUACCGACAUGGAUUCUGCUUCUAAAUCAUUUAUAACUACCAAGAAUAAAGGGGAGUCCAUUCUUUAUUUUUCUUUUUACUGCGUACGUUCUUUACUUUCACACUUUGCUUUCAUAUUUUGCUUUCAUACAUUGCACUUUGUUUAGUCUAGAUAGCAUUUGGUUUUGAAUAAAAUUCUUCAUGUGUGUUCUUAGUAAUAGCUUGAGAAUCGUAAAAGUUUUUUUUUAAUUUUGACCAUCAAUUUUUAGGUCAAUGGACUACUUCAUGCCUAUACUUUAUUCUUUUUUUGUGUGACAUGCACUUAUAACAAUUAAACUCUAGAACUUGCUUUGCUUCUUUUUAAAAUCACAAUAUUAUAUGCAUGCAUGGAGAUGAUGAAGGAUAUUUCUUUCUUAUUCUUUGAUUUCUUUCCCUUUCAAAUGCUAGUGAAUAACUCACUUGUCACUUAUAUCUCGUACCACUUUUUCUUUCUCUUAAUUCCAUUGAGAGUUUUGGAUUGAUUGCUUGAUGAGUUGGAAUGUUUGAGACGGAUAAAAUUCUAAGUGUGGGGGAGGGGUUUGCAUGUGUUUGGAGAUCUUGAAGAUUUUGGAUGACUUCAUGUCCUUGCUAUUGAUGCUUGAUGCAUAUAAUGUGCAGUAAUUAAGGCUGGAAUUUGAAGGUUCUGUUUUUUGGCUUUGUUUGAGUUAGUUGUACUGCUGAUUAGUUUUAAAAAAAAUUGUUCAAAUUUUUAAUGCUGUAAUUCUGGAAUCUGUGACAACUUCAAUGUUUUAAGCUCCUGCUAGAUUUGAGUUUCUGAAUUCAGAAUUUGGCAGGAGAUCAAAAACCAAAACAAGAAUCUUUCUAGUCUUUCAAAUUUUCGAAUGAGUCAAGAUUUAUCAAACUCAAGAAUCUGAAUUCUGAAAUUUUUAGAAUCCUGGAAUUAAUUCUGAAAUGAUUAUAAAGUAGGAAUCUGUUUCAGCAGGCAACUUAGUUGUUCAUAUCUUGUUUGUUUCUUCACUUGUGCAAAAUGAAUGAAUGGAUUCUUUAAGCUAUCAGGGAAACAGGAGAGAACUAGCUGAUCACUGAAAUUUAAAGUUGUGAAAAAUUAGAAUUCUGAAAUCAUCUGAACUGAAAAGCUAUUGCUUCAUAAUUUUAAUUCGAGUAGGGAAGAUGGUUGUGGCUGGACAUGAAGCAAAAGUUUAAAUCUGAUAAUUAGUUAUUGCUUCCUUAAAACUGAUUGAAGUUUGCCUGGAUUGAAGUUGAAGUUGAUUUCCUAAAAAUGAAUGUUUACAACUGUUUCUGAAUUGUAACUCAGCUUCAAAAUGUUGCUGUUAAGGGGGUAUGAGCAAUGAGCUAAUUCUAUCUACCUUUUCAAGUUUAUGGAGGAGUUUAUGGAACUCAAUUCUGAAUUGCCACUGCUGAUGUAAUAUGAAUGCAACUUCAAGAAGGGAAGAAGAGAAAUUGUGAAGAAUAAGAAAUUAGUUGAGUUCUAAAUCAGUUUGAUAGAGGAACUCUAUAGUAGUACUGAGAUUCUACACUACUAUUUCAUUUUAAGAAAUUGAAACCUUCCUUAAAAUUGAUAUCCCAGGAAGUAGCUGAGUUCGAACCCUUGAAUUUCUGAAUUGCUUCUUUACUGUUGCCACAUUCUAUUUGAUUUGGUUUUCUGCUAAUGCAAUAGAAAGACAGAUCUCAAGCUGAAUGACAUUGGGUGUAGCUACAAAAGAAGAGAAAAAUCUGAAGGAGUUGUUGUGUGCCAAGAUUAACUGAAAUUUCUGUUUAGUGACAACUUCAAAAGAAGUUUCUAUCUCUCUCUUGACAAUUGGUAUUACAACCCAUUCCAAACUUAUCAAGAUUCAAGUCUGGAAUUCUCUGAAUCUGAAUUUCUGAAACUAAUUUCCUGAAGUUCUUUGAAUCUGAUUGUCUUGUUCAAAUUCAUGAAAAUUUGAAACCUGAGAUAGCUCAAUUGGUUGAGUUUUUAAUGAAUCUGAUCUCUAGAAAGAUGAGUUGCAUUGAACCUGAUGUUCUGAAACUAAUUUCUGGAUCAUUGAGAAAUUCAAGUGAAGUUCUUAAGUUGCCAUUGUCAAUUGGUACUUUCCUUUUCGAGUUUUCAUGGCUCAAACUAGUAAUCUUAUUCUAUCUGGGACUAGAUUAUCAUCUGUUAUCAAGAAUUUGAUACCACACCACUAAACAAGUUGAGAUAAAGGAACCUUGAAGGUGUAAAUGCUAUGAUUGAAGUUAGUAUGGAAUUUGUGAUUUCCAGAACUUAACAGAAUUAAAGUUGCUGAAAAUUCAAUUGAACAAUUCUAAUGAAGAGUUAACUGAUGCUUGAGUAGGGGCUUGCAUGAGUUUGGUUUAAGGAAGUAUUGCUGUGAGUUUAGUUGGUUCUUCACCCAUACAAGUAAAAGGGAACUGCAUUAUAGGAAAAAAAUCUGAAGAAACUAGAAUUUAUGAUCAAUGAUGUCUGAAAUUGACAUCUGCUGCUGCUGAGAAGGGGAGCUGAGUAUCAAAUUAAAGUGAUGUGUUCCAAGAUUCUUGUGCAACUCUCCGAUAAGUGCAAAGUUCAAGAAGUAAGAAAGAUUGUUCUUCUCCACACUCAUCCAAUUGCUAAACCACACAAGAUACAAAUCAAAUAUUUUCACUUAUGAAUCUGGUUUCUAAAUCCUUGAAUUGCAGAAAUUCCUUGAGCUUGAGCUUGAGCUUGAGUCUAAAUUUGGUUUUAGAAUAUGGAUUUAAACUGAUGUGAGAACAGAAUUAAAUAUAUGAAGUCAAAAGUUGAAAUGCCUAAGGAUUAGUAAGAGAUAUGCCGAAGGAAUAGAAGUAUGGAACAGAUUGGAUUUCACCAGAUUAUCUUCAUAAAAGGGCAGAAGUCAUGACUCAUGACUAAAGCUGCGAGUAGAAUCUAGAAUUUCUGGAACUUGGUAGGAUUUCAAAGGAAAUGAAGAUGAGUGUUGAUUUUGCUCCAUGAGGGGUAAAAACAAGUCCGACAUUAGUUACAAAAUCCCACAUUUGUUUGUUUACUUUAUCAACAAGAGAGAUUCUUUUAUGCACAUCAAUUAGUCAACUCGUCAGGCAAUGAAGGGAGCCAUGAACUCAAGUUGGAUCGAUCUAAAUUUGACUUAAUUAUGAAAUUAAAUGGGGAGAUCAAAGUUCUGGAUCAAUUUGGACUGUUUAUUUAAGAUAUGACAAGAUCUGAACAAUCCAUUAGAGAUCUGGUCCAUCCAAGUUAAGGGACGGUAAAUAAUAGCCAUUGAUCAAGAUCUAGGCCCUUUGAUCCAGAUCUGAACUGAUUUAGCCGUUGAUCAAGAUUUGGAGAGUUCAUGGCCGUCCGUUCAGAUCUGAGAUCAGUUUAAAAGAGAAGCUACCGUUUCAUCGUGCUUCUUCGGCUCCCGAUCGCGAUCACCUCUGUUCUUGGCCAGUUUCUUCCACCGCCGCUCCUUCGCCCGCGAUCUCGAUGCCUCCUUCCAUCUCACCGGAGAUUAGACCACCAGUGGACCACCAGAUGUUAAGGGUUUCCCUUCCUCCGGAGAGCCAUCAUCCUCCCUCUUUCAUCAUUCAUUUGCCGACGCCAUCUCUUCCCUGAUUGCACAUCACCGCCGGCCACUUUUCAUCCACCGUAGGCAUCACCGAGAAGUCAAGGGGUUUACCUUCCUCUGGUCAUGAUCCAUCCAUCAACAAUCGGCGACGCCACUUCCAUCUCCACCGAGGACAGCCCAUCCGCAGCCAUCCACCAGCGCGAAGGAUUGAGUUGGGGUUUCCCAUCGCCGAUCCUUCUCCUUUGAAUUUGGGGUUUCCCUUCUCCAAUCAUCCUUCCGACCACCUCAUCCUCUUCUCCGACUAGCCUUCAACCACAGUACAUUUCAACCUUAGAUUUGGUUCCAGCAGCUCUUCCACAAAUCCGGACAGCAACUCCAUCUCUUCUUCUUCUUCAUCAUCCAGAUCACAAGUUUGGUUUGGUUCUCAGAUGUGUUGAUUUAGAUCUAAUUGCUUGUUGGAUGAUCUUUUGUUGAUUGUUAUGUUGAGGAUGUAAUGGAUUUGGGUUUCUUGUUUAAAAAAAAAAAAAUGUGGAACCGCCACAUCAGCGGCCCCCCUAGAGCCGGUCCCACGGAUAUGGAGGGAGGUAAAUGCAGGUACACAGGUGGAAAGUGCAUGGCGGAGACGUUAACCCCAGGCAGUGACACUCCGGGGAUCUACCCCUGGACCUUUCAGCCACAGAACCAUGCAUUCCCCAUCUGUGCUACGCCCUGGGGACUUGGGUUUCUUGUUUAAGAUUGCAUGUGCUGGGGUCAAGUUGAUUCAUGCCUACAACUUGUUCGUUGAAAUGUUUCUUCUACUUGAUAUGCUUUAGUUUUGCAAUUCCGUUUGUUUAGUUGUUUGCAAUGUCAUUCUUGUUGA